rnacentral:lncRNA from 1 species
CCAUCUAUCCCAAAAUCUUCAAGAACAUCCCUCAUCAGAAGGAAAUACCAGCAACUUCCACUAUAAAUAUGAGUACAUACUACUACUACUACUAUUAGCCUGCAUCAGAACAUUCAGAACAACCAUUAGAACAUUCAGCAACACUAGGUUCACAUACGCACUCAACAUUCAGAACAACCAUCAAGCAAACCACAAAGCCUGCGAUGGCUCAGCUCGGAAUCGGCAGCCCUGCUCGGCCUUUCAGUGCUUCUCCUGAAGCAGUGACGACGAACACGACAGCCUCAACGACGGCGAAAGCCGGAGAUGGAGAGCUGAAGAAGCAACAACCAGUCCAAGUCAACGGAACUGGCGUUCAGAAGACGGGAGAUCAUCAUCUCAAGGUUGCAAAACUAGAGGGGACGAAGAACAACGAGCGAGCACCCAUCGUCGUGCAUCACUUCCCCUUCCCUUCUCGCCAUGGACUGCUGUGAUCUCGGCCCUGGCUUGUUUGACAUCGUCACCUUUACUUCUCGUCUUGUUUGGAAAAUAUGUAGUACACACAUGGGUCGUCUGCCAUAGUUUUCUUUACAUGUUUUGCAGAAGGAAAACAACAUAUAUGAUGACACAUGGGGCCAAUAUUAAUGGACGAUAAGCAUUAUGAGGCUAUUCUUAGUGCAAGAUUCCAUGGUGUCUUGUUUCCAAAACUACUACAUGUCCACAUCAGCUAGAAUGCAAUGAAAUAUGGAUGAAACAAGAGCUCUCUAUGCAUAGUUUCAUUUUUUCAUAGCCGCUAUAACAUUCAAUUCCACGACUCAUUUAGAGUUGAAAAUAGAGCCAACUGUCUUUCAUCUACAUGAAAAUUAUUGUCAAUAUAAAAAAAAUGCAUGUAUGGCACUCUAAUGUGGAUGAAAUCCCCACCAAAACUAGCCUUAAUGACGAAUACACUGCUUGUAACAACCUAAACAUUGCAUAUGUUGAUAAAUAUCCUAUUCAUCAUCCUUUGUCAUACGCCUAAACAGGUUGCGACCAACAAUGGCGAGAACGGGCUAGCCAAAGCCCAUGGAGGGGGCGCCACCGCCCCAGCUGCCACUCUAGGAGGGCCUGGCGGCCCGCCCUAAGGGUGGGAGUGCCACUGUCACCGCGCCGUUUUCUUUCGUGUCAUCUUCGGUUACCAUAUCUAGUCUUAGUUGAUUUUGGAUAUGGUUUGUUAGGAUAGAAAAUAAUUGAUGAGAACCGCGUUUGGUAAGGAUUCCCUUAUUUUUCUUGUGAGCCAAGUCCAAUAGAAACUAUAAAAAUAAGGGACAUGUAA